rnacentral:rRNA from 1 species
GUGCAGCAGGCGAGAAACUUUACAAUGUGCGAAAGCACGAUAAGGGAACUCUGAGUGCCUCCUAAGGAGGCUGUUCAGGUGUCUAAAAGCACCUGAAGGAAGGGCUGGGUAAGACCGGUGCCAGCCGCCGCGGUAACACCGGCAGCCCAAGUGGUAGCCACGUUUAUUGGGUCUAAAGCGUCCGUAGCCGGCUGGGUAAGUUCCUUGGGAAAUUUGGCUGCUUAACAGUCAAGCUUUCAGGGAAUACUGCCCGGCUUGGGACCGGGAGAGGUCAGAGGUACUCCAGGGGUAGGGGUGAAAUCCAUUAAUCCUUGGGGGACCACCGGUAGCGAAGGCGUCUGACCAGACCGGGUCCGACGGUGAGGGACGAAGGCUAGGGGCGCGAACCGGAUUAGAUACCCCGGUAGU